AUGAACGCUGGCGGCGUGCCUAAUACAUGCAAGUCGAGCGAACGGACGAGAAGCUUGCUUCUCUGAUGUUAGCGGCGGACGGGUGAGUAACACGUGGAUAACCUACCUAUAAGACUGGGAUAACUUCGGGAAACCGGAGCUAAUACCGGAUGAUAUUUUGAACCGCAUGGUUCAAAAAUGAAAGACGGUCUUGCUGUCACUUAUAGAUGGAUCCGCGCUGCAUUAGCUAGUUGGUAAGGUAACGGCUUACCAAGGCAACGAUGCAUAGCCGACCUGAGAGGGUGAUCGGCCACACUGGAACUGAGACACGGUCCAGACUCCUACGGGAGGCAGCAGUAGGGAAUCUUCCGCAAUGGGCGAAAGCCUGACGGAGCAACGCCGCGUGAGUGAUGAAGGUCUUCGGAUCGUAAAACUCUGUUAUUAGGGAAGAACAUAUGUGUAAGUAACUGUGCACAUCUUGACGGUACCUAAUCAGAAAGCCACGGCUAACUACGUG
rnacentral:rRNA from 1 species